UCCUCUGACCCCUCUAGAGAUAGAGUUUUCCCCUUCGGGGGACAGAGUGACAGGUGGUGCAUGGUUGUCGUCAGCUCGUGUCGUGAGAUGUUGGGUUAAGUCCCGCAACGAGCGCAACCCUUAAGCUUAGUUGCCAUCAUUAAGUUGGGCACUCUAAGUUGACUGCCGGUGACAAACCGGAGGAAGGUGGGGAUGACGUCAAAUCAUCAUGCCCCUUAUGAUUUGGGCUACACACGUGCUACAAUGGACAAUACAAAGGGCAGCGAAACCGCGAGGUCAAGCAAAUCCCAUAAAGUUGUUCUCAGUUCGGAUUGUAGUCUGCAACUCGACUAUAUGAAGCUGGAAUCGCUAGUAAUCGUAGAUCAGCAUGCUACGGUGAAUACGUUCCCGGGUCUUGUACACAC
rnacentral:rRNA from 1 species